CGAAAAUUGUUAUAUGAUGGACGAAGAAAGGCAGGCAGUGGAGGCCAUGUUUGAUUGGGAAAAGUGCUUUCUAGAUAUAGUUGUGACGCAUUUUAGGGUUCUUUAAAAAAAUCUACCUGAAUUGGGCUUUUAAUACCCUAAAUUCAGCAAUAAUGCUUGGAGAUCUUUGAUAAAAUUUUUAUCGCAAUAGCAAAACAAAAUACCUG